GUAACUAUAACGGUCCUAAGGUAGCGAAAUUCCUUGUCGGUUAAAUACCGACCUGCAUGAAUGGCGUAACGAGAUGGGAGCUGUCUCAACCAGAGAUUCAGUGAAAUUGUAGUGGAGGUGAAAAUUCCUCCUACCCGCGGCAAGACGGAAAGACCCCGUGGACCUUUACUACAACUUAGCACUGCUAAUGGGAAUAUCAUGCGA
rnacentral:rRNA from 1 species